AUGCCCAAAAAAGAGGGGAAGCAGAACCAAGUCGAGAUGAUAUGGGUCGCCCCUUCUUCUUGCACCAAAGAUCUUACCAUUUCCAAAGGAACUGGGGCUACAUUUCUUUUCAAUUUCCAUUCAAGAGUUGUUUUUCUUUCAUAUUUUAUUCUUUCUUUUAUUUUCUGUCUUCUUCCAAGAAAAACUGUUAGACCAAAACUCUUUUAG
rnacentral:rRNA from 1 species